rnacentral:rRNA from 1 species
CUUGUUUUAUGUUGGUGUAUAUCUGGUUUGAUAUUAUUGCUUUAGUAGCUUAAUUUGUGUAUAGUUGUUAUUUAAGCCAAGUCUAUGUGCUGCUUAUUCAAGUUUUCAUGCGUUACAUUCAUAAUUCGUAUUUUGUGAUAAUUAUGGUUUUAGGACUCAAUAGUAAUGUAAAUUAAGUUUGUUUAUGUGAAACUGGUUUAGCUUGGGUACACACCGCCCGUCA